CCCUUCUAUUCUUAACCGGAUUCGGCAACUUUGCUUUAAUUAAUGCUUUUCAGAGUGUUAUAAGCUUUUGGUCAAUUUCCAGAGAUGGGAAAAGUUUAAAGUUUAAUGUUGACAAUGUUUGCCAACUUUUGCAGUGCUUCUAAUGGAGGGCUGGAUUUACAGAGUUUCUCACUACACCAUUCCAGAAUGUUCCCCAAACUGUACUCUGCUGUUACUGUCUGGUUGUAGGAAAAGCAAAGCUACUAUAAGAACUCACUACAUCAACGCGUAUUCAUUAUUGAGACCAUCCUAGGAGAGCUGCAUCAUCACAGGCUGCUCUGAGGUCUGUGCCCAAUCAAGCAAAGAACAACGGAGAUAAUCACACUGUGCAGAGGGUGACCAAUUUAGAAAAAAAGGACUCUUAAGAAGAUCGUCCAACUUCCUUAAAUGACUUUCAUUAAUUUUACACCUUUUGCCAAUUAAUUGCACUUAUGAGCCUUGCUUGUCAAUUACUGCAUUCUCACUUUCAGCAAUUGAACUAAUCUUUGCCUAUUCAUAUUUUGUUUUUUAAAUAGGUAUUUCCAAUUAUUGAUAUAAAUCUUUAUG
rnacentral:lncRNA from 1 species